GGCCUUUGGGGAUCGGAGCCUACACAUGCAGUCGACGGUAACAGGAAGCAGCUUGCUGCUUCGCUGACGAGUGGCGGACGGGUGAGUAAUGUCUGGGAAACUGCCUGAUGGAGGGGGAUAACUACUGGAAACGGUAGCUAAUACCGCAUAACGUCGCAAGACCAAAGAGGGGGACCUUCGGGCCUCUUGCCAUCGGAUGUGCCCAGAUGGGAUUAGCUAGUAGGUGGGGUAACGGCUCACCUAGGCGACGAUCCCUAGCUGGUCUGAGAGGAUGACCAGCCACACUGGAACUGAGACACGGUCCAGACUCCUACGGGAGGCAGCAGUGGGGAAUAUUGCACAAUGGGCGCAAGCCUGAUGCAGCCAUGCCGCGUGUAUGAAGAAGGCCUUCGGGUUGUAAAGUACUUUCAGCGGGGAGGAAGGGAGAGUAAAGUUAAUACCUUUGCUCAUUGACGUUACCCGCAGAAGAAGCACCCGGCUAACUCCGUGCCAGCAGCCGCGGUUAAUACGGAGGGUGCAAGCGUUAAUCGGAAUUACUGGGCGUAAAGCGCACGCAGGCGGUUUGUUAAGUCAGAUGUGAAAUCCCCGGGCUCAACCUGGGAACUGCAUCUGAUACUGGCAAAGCUUGAGUCUCGUAGAGGGGGGUAGAAUUCCCAGGUGUAGCGGUGAAAUGCGUAGAGAUCUGGAGGAAUACCGGUGGCGAAGGCGSCCCCCUGGACGAAGACUGACGCUCAGGUGCGAAAGCGUGGGGAGCAAACAGGAUUAGAUACCCUGGUAGUCCACGCCGUAAACGAUGUCGACUUGGAGGUUGUGCCCUUGAGGCGUGGCUUCCGGAGCUAACGCGUUAAGUCGACCGCCUGGGGAGUACGGCCGCAAGGUUAAAACUCAAAUGAAUUGACGGGGGCCCGCACAAGCGGUGGAGCAUGUGGUUUAAUUCGAUGCAACGCGAAGAACCUUACCUGGUCUUGACAUCCACRGAACUUUUCAGAGAUGG
rnacentral:rRNA from 1 species